GCGACCCCGCGCACCGGGAGGGGCCGGCAGCGGCGCGGCCCGGGGCCUCGCGUCACUCACCGUUUGAAAUGCUCGAUGAUCUUCUCUUCCCGCACGUUCUCCGACCCAGGAGGCCAAGCGAGCUACAGACACGGUGACCAGUUUUCACCACCUUGGCUGAUAUUUUUCCAUUAAACUGAUUUUAGACAAGUCACUCCUAAAAUGCCCGGAUUUUGAGCAAGAGACAGAGAAAGCUGUGAUAUGCUGGUUUCUUCUUCAGAUGACAGCAUUGCCCAGGGCUGAAGCCAGGAGCAGGGGGCUCACAGAGGUUUCCCAUGUGCGAGGCAGAACUCGGGACUGGAGUCAUCACCUCUGCCUCCCAGGGUCUGAACUCUCAGGAAGAUGGAAUCCAUAGCCAGAGCGAGGGAUGGAACCCAUCUGCUCUGAUAUGGACACGAGCAUCUUAACCAGCACUUUCCUCCAGCUUGAUUGUUUUUUCUUUUUUAAAUAUAAAUAUACUUCUCAAAAGAGAAUUCUCAGUUUACAAAAUGUCAACAGACAUCAACCUAAACAAAAUUUAAUGAUUUAAACACAACUGUUUUCUGUUCACAUUUUUAAUGUGCUCCCAUGGUGCCAAAAAAAAUUCUCUAAUUUCAAUUAAAUUAAUUUGAAGGAAAAAUAGUUCACAUGCUGGGUUAAAAUGAGCAUUGAUUGAGAAAGAAAUAUUCCCCAAUUCUAUAAAUAUCUCUGAGUUAAAUGUAAUGUCCAUGUUCCUUACAGAUUUUCUCAGCAUAACAAACACUACUUGAUCUUGAAUUUUGAGAGCUACCAAAAAAACACUGAUGAUGGUAUGAAUGAGAAGCAUUAGAGAGUAAUGGAUUAGUAGUCAAAAAUUACAGUUCCAAUUUCAUCAUCAGUUAUAUGGCAUAGGCAAAUCAAUUCAAAUCUCAAUUUCCUUUUCUGCAAAAUGAGUAUAAAAUACAGUUUACUCAAUAAAAUUGUUAGAAAUAACAAACGAGAUAAUAUACUUGUAUGUGAAAGUGUUUGGAAAUUACACACCAUAUAAAAAUCAUGAAUAAAAUUAAAUUGAGAGUUAAUUUCACACUAAUAUCAAAAGUGGGCGUCACUUGAAGUUAGGAACACAGCGAUAUCAACUCAUAACGUUUUCAUGACUACAGCCAGGUCCUGUAGCCAUUUCAAAUCCAUAUGCAGUGGCUACCUGUGAAGUAUGCAGUUCCUUACAAAUUUUUUUCUGACCUUUUCUAUUGCAAAAGCUCUUAAUGAUAACAAAGCUGAUAAGUACGUGCCCUUUGCGCAGCCCCAAGUCAAAUGUUUGAUCUUCUCAGUGCUUUUCAUUUUUGCUGGCAACGCAUCAGGGAAAGCUGGGAAAGCUGUUCUCCAUUUUGUUCUUUUUACAAAUAUUUACGGGGGCAGAAUUUCUUCAUUAGCAUGUAUCUUUGUAUGUUUUCAAUAGAAAGACAACCCAUUCUGUUAUUCCUGGAUGAUUUGUUAUUUAUCUUAACAAUAAUGGAUGCUCAUUGAAAAAGAUCAAAAGGAGGUUGUGAUUUAUCUAUGAUAAAUGGAUGGUGAAGUGAAUUUCCUCACUUGUGUAUUAAAGAUAAUUCAAGAAGGUGACAUGAAAGCAAAGCCAUUUGCAGAGGGGAAUUAAAUAGAUUUGUUUUUAAUCAGGUCUUUUUUCACACUGUGAGGAGCUGCUGUAUUUCGUAUGCUAGACAUGCCCCAAGAGUUCAGUCAUGCGUGAUGGGAGCUCAGAUGGGGAAAGCAGCUAAGCCUCAGACUCGGGCUCUGAAUGCUCACCCAGCCACUAGAGCAGAUCAAUUAAUGCCGCCAUUUGAACAAGAGAACAGAGGCAACAAGACCCUGGCCCCAAGCUUUAAAAUUGUUUCACAUGAAAACAUACACUUACGAUAUAAGCAUUUCUUAAAAAGGCAUCAUAUAAAAACAUAUUAACUAGCUCUAAAUGACCAAAGAAAGCCCCAAUGACUUGACAGUACUAACAAACUGUUGUUGUUACAAUCAGGAUUUUUUUUCAAAAUAACAGAAAAUAAAGCAGAUGAGAUCCAUUAUAUUAUUAUCAAAGAAUGCUUGACAUCUUCCUAUUUCUGAAGCUAAAAUAAUGAGAGGCCAGUCUACUAACACACUUAUAUUGAUCCUACUUUUAGCAAGCUGUGUUUAACUAAGAAAACUAAAUGAUUGAAAUCAAUUCUUAAGUUUCUACAUUCCUUAUCCAUAGAAAGUUGCUGAAAGUAACUUUUUCUAUGGAAAAAAUACUGCUAACAUUUCUAAUAUUUAAAAUUAUUAAUACAGUUUAGGAAAAUUUGUGAAAUUGAAUGGAAAAUCUACUGAGAGGAUAUUUGUAAAUGUUAAUCAUCAUGGUUAAUGUCUAUAUGGUAGAAUUUGAAAUUUUUUUAAAAAUUGUAUUCUUAUAUACUUUCUGAACUUU